CAGGGAGACAACAAAAUGUUUAAUAUUAUUAUUUUGUCACCUUAGGUCGAUCGGUAUCUCACGUUCUUAAUUUAUUAAGAAUUUCAUUUCCUAAGUUUUUCUAGGUCACACCCAUUAUUUUCCUGGGCCAUUAGCUCAGGUGGUUAGAGCGCACCCCUGAUAAGGGUGAGGUCCCUGGUUCAAGUCCAGGAUGGCCCAUAUCUCUAUGUUGGGGGUAUAGCUCAGUUGGUAGAGCGCCUGCUUUGCAAGCAGGAUGUCAGCGGUUCGAGUCCGCUUACCUCCACUGAUUACCACCUCUCCCAUAAUCUGUAGAAGGGAAAAUUUUGAGUAGUGAUCAUGCUUCUGAACGAAUCUAGCUUCCUAAUGAAACUAUUAAGAUGCUGGACUCAUUGAAUUAAUUUCAUUGUUUUCAGAGAACCUUGACAACUGCAUAGAUUAUUUUAAAGACAAUAAGCAUCUUUAAUGAUGCAGAUUUAUUAUUUGUGCAAAUGCAUUAAUAACAAUUCUAUUAAGCUGAUGCUUCAAUUUUGAAGUUAUU
rnacentral:tRNA from 1 species